AGGGAUACAGCAUCUCUUAUCCAAGCAUAUUCCACAAAAAGUGGGUUUGUAACUCUGAGUACUUGAGCAUCCAGAAAAGACAAAUUUUUCAGCUUUGGAGAGUUGGAAAUUGCUGUUUUCAUUGGUCACCCUAUUAGAUAUUCCCAUCCCACAUGUUCUGGAGCAGGGAGUCCACUUUGUUGCUUGCACAAGACAUUUUUUUUUCCAAAUAAGUGGGAGAUUUCUAUAAGCUAAAAUGGAGAAAAGUACAUAUGUAUACAUAUAAAUGUACUUGUAUAAAUGGAUAAUUUUUAAUCAUGUUUAAGCUAAUGUUUAAGAAAUCUGAAUAUUUUUGUAUAAUAUAACUCAGAAUAAAAGAAGCUGAUGGUCUAAUUUA